rnacentral:tRNA from 1 species
GACAACUUGGCCGAGUGGUUAAGGCGUUUGACUCGAAUGUUUGCGCAUCCCGAGCGGGUACGCAAAUCAAAGAUAUCAAAUCCGUUCGCGGGCGUAGGUUCGAAUCCUACAGUUGUCG